AGGUCACAGAAGCCAGGUGGUUCCCAUGGCUGGGGCUCCAGGGAGGGCUCUCUGCAGGCCACCACCUGCCGUCGUUCCUCCUCCCAAGCUGCCGGGACGGGCAGAGGAUGCGAGUCACUCUGUCCCCUGCGGGCCGCGCUAAGCCUGUCAGGGGAACACGUGACAACUGGACCCCAGGAUCCUGGGACCUGGGCACCACCGUCAGAGGAGAAUACUGAUGUCCAGAGAAGUUAAAUUUUCUAUGGUCACACAACUGGUUGGGGCACGGACAGGGCCAAAUUCCAGUCCAGGGCUCUUUCUUUCCAUGACCCCAGCAGGCAAGAGGGAAUCAAUUAUAUAGAUCUUGAAAUGAAUGAAGGAAAAAGUCCCUUGAAUGGGAAGAUGGAAGAAGACAAAGGCAUGAAGGAUGAGCAGUGCAGGGAAGCGCGCUCAGUGGGGCUGGAUUCUAUUUGGCUGACCUGGUGGUGCGGAGUAAGGAAGCUGAGGGAGCAGGUGAACUGUAAGAAAGGGUAACUCCAAGGUCAAGAGCAAGGGGUGCCUGGAGGGGAAUCCACACUCAGGCCUGGGACCCACGGAAUUAGGCAGAUGGGUCCAGCACUCCUAAGGCAUUCAUCUCUGCAAAACCGCUACCGGCACCACUGGGCUUCAGCUGAGGAUUUUCCACCUGGUUUGAAUUGGGGUUUCUCAGCCUCAGCCCUACCGACGUUUGGGCGGGAAAAUUCCUUCUUGUGGGUUGUCCUGCGUGUCGCCAGAGGUUUAGCAGCAUCUCUGGCCUCGACUCACUAAUACUGUCGACCCCAUGUCAAGCAAAAUGUCUCCUGACAUUGCUCAGUGUCCUGGGGCAGUGGUGGCAAACCCACGGCACGCUGGCUGCUCGUAUCACUGAAAGCUCCAAAAGCUUUGCCAUUCCUUUGUAGGGGUAGGAGGGGAUGUCAACACUGCCCCGGUUGAUGAACCACUGGUUUAAAUGAGUCAAACACUGGCAGAACUCCCAGGCAGCCAUGAAAGGGAUGCCAUUUCAUCUGAAGGAGAGAAACAGCAUGCCGCACAGGUCUCUGUUCCCGGGAGGCCGAGGAAACACUGAGGGCAGAGCCUUCAGACCGGGUGCUGCCCGACACAGGAAGAAGCACUCCCGGGACAGAGGCUUCCCGGAAGAACACAGCACGGCACAGCCGUCGCUGUUCCCCACAGCGCCUUCCCUGCCCUCCGCCUCCUGCUGGGGAACCCCUACCACGCCAUCACCCAGGCUUAUGGGCCUCUGUGUUGCUUCCCGUGUCCAGCACUGCCAACCGUGAGCGCAGAGGUCUGGGAAACACAGCUCAUUUCCCGCUAUCACCACUAGCUCUGUCCAAAUGCUUCCCAUGGUUUCGAUCCCUCUCAAAGGGACCCGUGGGAAGCCAGCUUUGCUUUUUGGGCCCCGGAGUCGGUCCGUAUGACACUGAUCACGUUCUCAACAGGGACAGAAUUCUAACCCUGCACCCCGGACUGUGGGGACCAGGGAGGGCCAGCGUCUAGCAGGGGCUCAGCACAAGCUGCACGAACUGAACGAGGGUGAGGCAGGCUGGGUGGGGGUAAAGGCAACAAGCACCCAAGAGACUUAAUCGCCAAGGGGCUGGGCCACAGACGGCCUGGGAUGGGUCUGGCCCCGGCUGAGAGGCACCGUUGGAAGAGUGCGUAGGCAGGGGCCUUCCUGACCAGAAGCGCUGGCCCCGUGGAACUGCUGUAGGCCACUGAGGGGGGACAGGAGGACAAGUCUCGGGGCGGGAAGCUCAGAACUCAGGACAAGCCCCCAGGGCUGGGAAAAUCCCCGCAGGUGCCUCGACAUUCGUCCUGAAGCUGGAGGGCACCUCAGACAUCGCCUGGUCCUUCACCUCGCUGUCACAUGGGAACAAGUCACAUGGAGAGGACACUGGCGCUGGUCACCAGGUAGAGCGGGUAGAGCUCACUGCUGGCCCCCAGCCUCUCGGUCCCUGCUCCUGCCUGGAAGGGCCCCCAAGACAGAAGGGCUCGCGGCUCGUGUGAGCGGCCCCACAUCCCACUGCCACAGGCCUGGAGUCCUUGCUAGAAGGGUCCGGAGACCUGGUGGUGAGAACUCUGGAGGCUGAGGCAGGGGAAUUUCAAGUUCAAGCUCAGCCCCAAGAGCCAGUUUGGUAAGAUACUGUCUCUAAAA